AGUGAACGCUGGCGGUAGGCCUAACACAUGCAAGUCGAACGGCAGCACAGUAAGAGCUUGCUCUUACGGGUGGCGAGUGGCGGACGGGUGAGGAAUACAUCGGAAUCUACUUUUUCGUGGGGGAUAACGUAGGGAAACUUACGCUAAUACCGCAUACGACCUACGGGUGAAAUCAGGGGAUCUUCGGACCUUGCGCGAUUGAAUGAGCCGAUGUCGGAUUAGCUAGUUGGCGGGGUAAAGGCCCACCAAGGCGACGAUCCGUAGCUGGUCUGAGAGGAUGAUCAGCCACACUGGAACUGAGACACGGUCCAGACUCCUACGGGAGGCAGCAGUGGGGAAUAUUGGACAAUGGGCGCAAGCCUGAUCCAGCCAUACCGCGUGGGUGAAGAAGGCCUUCGAGUUGUAAAGCCCUUUUGUUGGGAAAGAAAAGCAGCAGGUUAAUACCCCGCUGUUCUGACGGUACCCAAAGAAUAAGCACCGGCUAACUUCGUG
rnacentral:rRNA from 1 species